GUAGUCAUAUGCUUGUCUCAAAGAUUAAGCCAUGCAUGUCUAAGUAUAAGCAAUCUAUACGGUGAAACUGCGAAUGGCUCAUUAAAUCAGUUAUCGUUUAUUUGAUAGUACCUUGCUACAUGGAUACCUGUGGUAAUUCUAGAGCUAAUACAUGCUGAAAACCCCGACUUCGGAAGGGGUGUAUUUAUUAGAUAAAAAACCAAUGCCCUUCGGGGCUCCUUGGUGAUUCAUAAUAACUUCACGAAUCGCAUGGCCUUGCGCCGGCGAUGGUUCAUUCAAAUUUCUGCCCUAUCAACUUUCGAUGGUAGGAUAGUGGCCUACCAUGGUGGCAACGGGUAACGGGGAAU
rnacentral:rRNA from 1 species